rnacentral:misc_RNA from 1 species
AAGUCGUAACAAGGUUUCCGUAGGUGAACCUGCGGAAGGAUCAUUAUUGAAUAAACCUGGUGGGUUGUUGCUGGCUCCUUGGAGCAUUGUGCACACUCAUCAUCUUUAUCUGUCCACCUGUGCACUCUUUGUAGUCUUGGGAAAGAGGGGAGGGGCCGCGCUCUGUCGGGGUAACACACCCGGAUGUGAGGACUGUUGUGCACAAGUACAGCUUUACCUCUGCAUGCAUUACCUUCUUCUCCCCCAGGUCUAUGUGGUUUCAUACACCCCUAUAGCAUGUCAUAGAAUGUAUUCAAUGGGCCUAUGUGCCUUUAUAAAACAAUUAUACAACUUUCAGCAACGGAUCUCUUGGCUCUC